UACGAAGGGGGCUAGCGUUGCUCGGAAUCACUGGGCGUAAAGCGCACGUAGGCGGAUUGUUAAGUCAGGGGUGAAAUCCUGGAGCUCAACUCCAGAACUGCCUUUGAUACUGGCGAUCUCGAGUCCGGGAGAGGUGAGUGGAAUUCCUAGUGUAGAGGUGAAAUUCGUAGAUAUUAGGAAGAACACCAGUGGCGAAGGCGGCUCACUGGCCCGGUACUGACGCUCAUGUGCGAAAGCGUGGGGA
rnacentral:rRNA from 1 species